UACGGGGGGGGCAAGCGUUGUUCGGAAUCACUGGGCGUAAAGCGCGUGUAGGCGGCCUUUUAAGUUCGGUGUGAAAGCCCGGGGCUCACCCCCGGAAGUGCACUGGAUACUGGGAGGCUAGAGUACCGGAGAGGAGGGUGGAAUUCCUGGUGUAGCGGUGAAAUGCGUAGAUAUCAGGAGGAACACCGGUGGCGAAGGCGGCUACCUGGACGGCUAUUGACGCUGAGACGCGAAAGCGUGGGGAGCAAACAGG
rnacentral:rRNA from 1 species